rnacentral:rRNA from 1 species
GUCUGAGAGGAUGAUCAGCCACACUGGAACUGAGACACGGUCCAGACUCCUACGGGAGGCAGCAGUGGGGAAUAUUGCACAAUGGGCGCAAGCCUGAUGCAGCCAUGCCGCGUGUAUGAAGAAGGCCUUCGGGUUGUAAAGUACUUUCAGCAGUGAGGAAGGUGGUAGUGUUAAUAGCACUAUCAUUUGACGUUAGCUGCAGAACGAGCACCGGCUAACUCCGUGCCAGCAGCCGCGGUAGUACUGAGGGUGCGAGCGUUAAUCGGAAUUACUGGGCGUAAAGCGCAUGCRGGUGGUUUGUUAARUCAGAURUGAAAGCCCGGGGCUCAACCUCGGARUUGCAUUUGAAACUGGCAGACUAGAGUACWGUAGAGGGGGGUAGAAUUUCAGGUGUAGCGGUGAAAUGCGUAGAGAUAUGAAGGGAAUACCGGUGGCGAAGGGCGCCCCCCUGGACAGAUACUGACAGUCAGAUGCGAAAGCGUGGGGAGCUAACAGGAUUAGAUACCUGGUAGUCCACGCCGUAAACGAUGUCUACUUGGAGGUUGUGSCCCGAGCCGUGGCUUUCGGAGCUAACGCGUUAAGUAGACCGCCUGGGGAGUACGGUCGCAAGAUUAAAACUCAAAUGAAUUGACGGG